rnacentral:lncRNA from 1 species
GAAUGGGCUCAAAAUCAACAAAUUUCAAUGGCCGUAGUGAGCCGUUUGCAAGUUUAACGGUGUAGAAAUAUCCAAAUCACGUGAAAUUUUGAUAGAAAAUUCUUUAUACUAUAUAAAACAAGAUCAAUAUCUUUGAUUUAAAAUUUUAAUGUCAUAUUAUUACAUUUUGUAAUAUUUUUAUUUUCAGCCGUUGAUUUUGAGCCCCUUCAUUCACUAGGCAAAUGAUAUCGUAAAAUCAUAAAAUUUAUUUUCUAGGUACUUCAAAUACUCUAGAUCAAGUUUAACGGAGCCGAUCGACGAUUCGAAAGUCGCAACAUCGAAAACGAGCUGGAAGCACGGAAGGCUCCGUGCUUCCGAUAGCAUAGUAGCCU